GGAAUUUGGUUAAUUUUCCAGGUUUUACUUCAUCAUCCCCUGAGAUAUUGAUUGUAUACUGUGUGCUAUAUUUGUCCUGGUCAUGUUUGAAACUAAGGAAAACCAAGGACCACGUGUUAGUGCAUAAAACUUUAGUGACUAAAAGUCGUGUUUUCAUCGAACCCGCCCCAUCUGAAAAUGCCCAGGCGCCCUAAAUUAGGAAUACGGAGAGAUUGGCAAAGAGGAAGUUUUGACAAAAGAAUUUCUACAAAGUGAAUUAUUGAAGUGGAUGAUGGAGCAAUUAUUAUAACAAGCUCCUCCGAAAUUUAAUGGGCUAUCGUCACAAGAAUAUUAA